AUCCGGCUGACGAGUCCCACAUAGGACGAAACGCGCUUUCAACUGGAU
rnacentral:hammerhead_ribozyme from 1 species